UUAAAUUGAAGAGUUUGAUCAUGGCUCAGAUUGAACGCUGGCGGCAGGCCUAACACAUGCAAGUCGAACGGUAACAGGAAGCAGCUUGCUGCUUCGCUGACGAGUGGCGGACGG
rnacentral:rRNA from 40 species